rnacentral:rRNA from 1 species
AGAGUUUGAUCAUGGCUCAGGAUGAACGCUGGCGGUAUGCCUAACACAUGCAAGUCGAACGAUGUCUUCGGACAUAGUGGCGGACGGGUGAGUAACGCGUGAGAAUCUGCCUCUAGGAUGGGGAUAACGGUUGGAAACGACCGCUAACACCCAAUAUGCCGUAAGGUGAAAAAUUUAUUGCCUGGAGAGGAGCUCGCGUCUGAUUAGCUAGUUGGUGGGGUAAGAGCUCACCAAGGCCUCGAUCAGUAGCUGGUCUGAGAGGAUGAGCAGCCACACUGGGACUGAGACACGGCCCAGACUCCUACGGGAGGCAGCAGUGGGGAAUUUUCCGCAAUGGGCGAAAGCCUGACGGAGCAAUACCGCGUGAGGGAGGAAUGCCUUUGGGUUGUAAACCUCUUUUCUCAGGGAAGAAGAUCUGACGGUACCUGAGGAAUAAGUAUCGGCUAACUCCGUGCCAGCAGCCGCGGUAAUACGGAGGAUGCAAGCGUUAUCCGGAAUCAUUGGGCGUAAAGCGUCCGCAGGUGGUUUCCAAAGUCUGCUGUUAAAGACUGGAGCUCAACUCCGGAACGGCGGUGGAAACUUGGAAACUAGAGUUCGGUAGGGGUAGCAGGAAUUCCCAGUGUAGCGGUGAAAUGCGUAGAUAUUGGGAAGAACAUCGGUGGCGAAGGCGUGCUACUGGACCGUAACUGACACUCAGGGACGAAAGCUAGGGGAGCGAAAGGGAUUAGAUACCCCUGUAGUCCUAGCUGUAAACGAUGGAAACUAGGUGUGGCUUGUAUCGACCCGAGCCGUGCCGUANCU